ACAUUUGAAAAAGUUGAAUGAUUCAAGAUGGGAUUCAGAUUAUGAGAAACUGUGGAAGCCUCCACCAAAUCAUGGCUUUCUACCCUGCACUAAGCUUACUCCUAAUUAUACAACUUCUCUUCCUCUUCCUACUUCUCCCUUGCUAUUUUUCUCCUCACCUUCUCAACCUUCACUGGCAGAUUCCCCUUAAUCCAAAGAGAUCAGCAAUAUGAAUGCGUUUUUUGAAGACGACGAAGAAGAAGAAGCGCAACAAGGUAUAGAAGAUGGGAUGCAAAUCAGGUAUGCUUUACUCCAUAUUUCACAUACAAGAUUUGCAUGUGGCCUUU